rnacentral:rRNA from 1 species
AGUGAACGCUGGCGGCGUGCCUAAUACAUGCAAGUCGAACGAAGUGGCGCACGGGUGAGUAAUAUAUAGUUAAUCUGCCCUACACAGAGGAACAACAGUUGGAAACGGCUGCUACUACCUCCUAGUGUAGGAUGAGACUAUCUCGUAUCAGCUAGUUGGUAAGGUAAUGGCUGACCAAGGCUAUGACGCGUAACUGGUCUGAGAGGAUGAUCAGUCACAUUGGAACUGAGACACGGUCCAAACUCCUACGGGAGGCAGCAGUAAGGAAUAUUGCGCAAUGGGGGAAACCCUGACGCAGCAACGCGGCGUGGAGGAUGACACUUUUCGGAGCGUAAACUACUUUUAUCAGGAAAGCGGUACCUGAUGAAUAAGCACCGGCUAACUCCGUGCCAGCAGCCGCGGUAAUUC